rnacentral:lncRNA from 1 species
GGAGCCGCUUUUAGAGGCGGGGCGGAGCCUUCCUCGACGGCGAGGCACCGCGGGGCGGAGUCUGUAGGGUCAGCUCCUCCCCGCCCCGCCCCGCCCCGCCCGGCUCUGCCCUCUCUCUGCAGGAUCUACUGGGGCUGUUUCUACUUUUUCCCCUGGCUUCGCAUGUGGCGGAGGGAGCGGAGCUCGGCGCACCCCGGGGAGCAGAAGCUGGAGCCUCUGCGAGGCCUGAUGAGCUGUCUGUCCAGCGGCCUGGGUCCUACUCCCCAGCGCUCGGGUCGUGGCUUCCCCCGCCGCAGCCCCACCGCCGCUGCCCAGCCAGCCAGUGCAUUAAAGAUUUAAACCGAAGCCCAC